rnacentral:misc_RNA from 1 species
GAGUAUUGCAGUUUCUGUUCACCCGACCAUUCGUCCACACUUUGGGCAGAACGAUCAUUUCUUCUUACAGUUGCAGGGUGCAAAUAAAACUCUUCAUCGGAAUCAGGUACUUUGACCUUGAUUGCCUUGAAAGAUCUAUCAUAACUCACUGCAGUUGAUACUUGUUGACGAAUCUUGGCACACUGUUGUACUACACACACGCCUAACUCUUGGAACGUUCUGGAAACUUCACCUUGAGGAUCAGCUACCACUUCAGGCAUUCCGCUAUCUCCAGAAGCAGAUAGAGCUGGUUGUAUAGGGAGAUCGAAUAGAUGGGGUAUUCCG